AUCAGUCUGCAGUUCCUGCGUGUCAGGAUGGGGCGUUCGUGCUCGUCUGAGACGUGCCACCCUCGAACUUUGUUACAACGUCAGCACAUCACCCGCUGACC